rnacentral:rRNA from 1 species
CCAGCGAACUUGGCAGAGAUGCCUUGGUGCCUUCGGGAACGCUGAGACAGGUGCUGCAUGGCUGUCGUCAGCUCGUGUUGUGAAAUGUUGGUUAAGUCCGCAACGAGCGCAACCCUUAUCCUUUGUUGCCAGCGAUUCGGUCGGGAACUCAAAGGAGACUGCCGGUGAUAAACCGGAGGAAGGUGGGGAUGACGUCAAGUCAUCAUGGCCCUUACGAGUAGGGCUACACACGUGCUACAAUGGCGCAUACAAAGAGAAGCGACCUCGCGAGAGCAAGCGGACCUCAUAAAGUGCGUCGUAGUCCGGAUCGGAGUCUGCAACUCGACUCCGUGAAGUCGGAAUCGCUAGUAAUCGUGGAUCAGAAUGCCACGGUGAAUACGUUCCCGGGCCUUGUACACACCGCCCGUCACACCAUGGGAGUGGGUUGCAAAAGAAGUAGGUAGCUUAACCUUCGGAGGGCGCUUACCACUCUGUGAUUCAUGACUGGGGUGAAGUCGUAACAAGGUAGGCGUAGCGAG